rnacentral:rRNA from 1 species
UAGCAAGAUUAACUUUUUUAUUAAUUUUCUCGAAGCCUGGGGAGUUACUUUGUUAUUGUUUUUAGGCAGAAAAAUGUAAAUGUAGCAAAAUUUUAUUCAUAUCAUAAAGUAGAAAUGAGAUUUUUUUCGUACUAGGAGAUAGCUAGUUUCAACAGAAAUAUAUCUACGUAUAGGCAAUCAGGUAGAAUUAACUAUGAAUAGUUAGGUAAUCCACUGGUUUUCUAGCCUUUAGAAGGGUGAGCUUAUGAAGGAAAAGUUGUAAUACAAGGUGGAAACUUGCUGGCAUCUGAGCUUGAAAUUAGCUAAGAUUGAAAGCUUGUUUUAAAGUAUUAAUAUACCGGUUGUGUAUCGCUUAAGUUAGGUUGAUAGGCGCUUGAAUUAGAAGGUGUUGUAUUUAUGCUAAAAUGAGUAUUUUACGAGUAAUUAGAAACUAAAGUUGAUUGUUUAAUCAGAAAUAAACGUGUUAUUUAAAAUGUGAAAAAGGAACUCGGCAUCUAUGUUUCGCCUGUUUAGCAAAAACAUGGCUCUUUG